rnacentral:rRNA from 1 species
GAAGAGAGAGUUCAAUAGUACGUGAAACCGUUCGGGGGUAAACGGACAGAGCCCGUGAAUCCGGGCGGCAGAAUUCAGAAUCGACGGGCGCAAGUCCGUCUAUUUGAUAUUUCUGUCGCCGCGUAUGCACGGACGUCGCGACCUGUUCGACGUCGGUCUUCCCCAGGAACCGUGUUCGAGUUUGCUGUUGGAGUGCGCGUUCGCGUGUGCUUGAACGGCAAAGGCGCGGACUUCUGGCCGACUCGUCGGACAGUAGGUCAACAAGGGUGGCCGGUGUCACCCUCGAGUGACGCCGGUGCCGGUCAGCGACGAAUCUUCGGGCCUCUUUCCGACCCGUCUUGAAACACGGACCAAGGAGUCUAACGUGCGCGCGAGUCGCGGGGUGUCGAGCGUGUCGACGGCCUCACGGUCGCCGGCGCGUUCGUUACGCAACGAAACCCGUACACGUAGAAGGCGUAAUGAAAGUGAAUGGGGAAGAUGGCGUUACCGAGUACACGUUCCACGGUCGCUGGUACCGUGGCCGGUCGCCCGCAUUCCCGGGGCGUCCCAACGGCCCGUCUAGGAUGCGGAUAGUCGUCUUCGCGGGCGGCUGUCGGUCUCUGACGAUCCGGGGCGCACCUAUAGCGUGCACGUUGGUACCCGAAAGAUGGUGAACUAUGCCCGGCCAGGAUGAAGUCAGGGGAAACCCUGAUGGAGGUCCGCAGCGAUUCUGACGUGCAAAUCGAUCG